rnacentral:rRNA from 1 species
UACGUAGGGCGCAAGCGUUGUCCGGAAUUAUUGGGCGUAAAGAGCUCGUAGGUGGCUUGUCACGUCGGGUGUGAAAGCUUGGGGCUUAACUCCAGGUCUGCAUUCGAUACGGGCUGGCUAGAGGUAGGUAGGGGAGAACGGAAUUCCUGGUGUAGCGGUGAAAUGCGCAGAUAUCAGGAGGAACACCGGUGGCGAAGGCGGGACUCUGGGCCGAUACUGACGCUGAGGAGCGAAAGCGUGGGGAGCGAACAGG